rnacentral:rRNA from 1 species
GGGUUGUGAGGUUAAGCGACUAAGCGUACACGGUGGAUGCCCUGGCAGUCAGAGGCGAUGAAGGACGUGCUAAUCUGCGAUAAGCGUCGGUAAGGUGAUAUGAACCGUUAUAACCGGCGAUUUCCGAAUGGGGAAACCCAGUGUGAUUCGUCACACUAUCAUUAACUGAAUCCAUAGGUUAAUGAGGCGAACCGGGGAACUGAAACAUCUAAGUACCCCGAGGAAAAGAAAUCAACCGAGAUUCCCCCAGUAGCGGCGAGCGAACGGGGAGGAGCCCAGAGCCUGAAUCAGUGUGUGUGUUAGUGGAAGCGUCUGGAAAGGCGCGCGAUACAGGGUGACAGCCCCGUACACAAAAAUGCACAUAUUGUGAGCUCGAUGAGUAGGGCGGGACACGUGGUAUCCUGUCUGAAUAUGGGGGACCAUCCUCCAAGGCUAAAUACUCCUGACUGACCGAUAGUGAACCAGUACCGUGAGGGAAAGGCGAAAAGAACCCCGGCGAGGGGAGUGAAAAAGAACCUGAAACCGUGUACGUACAAGCAGUGGGAGCACGCUUAGGCGUGUGACUGCGUACCUUUUGUAUAAUGGGUCAGCGACUUAUAUUCUGUAGCAAGGUUAACCGAAUAGGGGAGCCGAAGGGAAACCGAGUCUUAACUGGGCGUUAAGUUGCAGGGUAUAGACCCGAAACCCGGUGAUCUAGCCAUGGGCAGGUUGAAGGUUGGGUAACACUAACUGGAGGACCGAACCGACUAAUGUUGAAAAAUUAGCGGAUGACUUGUGGCUGGGGUGAAAGGCCAAUCAAACCGGGAGAUAGCUGGUUCUCCCCGAAAGCUAUUUAGGUAGCGCCUCGUGAAUUCAUCUCCGGGGGUAGAGCACUGUUUCGGCAAGGGGGUCAUCCCGACUUACCAACCCGAUGCAAACUGCGAAUACCGGAGAAUGUUAUCACGGGAGACACACGGCGGGUGCUAACGUCCGUCGUGAAGAGGGAAACAACCCAGACCGCCAGCUAAGGUCCCAAAGUCAUGGUUAAGUGGGAAACGAUGUGGGAAGGCCCAGACAGCCAGGAUGUUGGCUUAGAAGCAGCCAUCAUUUAAAGAAAGCGUAAUAGCUCACUGGUCGAGUCGGCCUGCGCGGAAGAUGUAACGGGGCUAAACCAUGCACCGAAGCUGCGGCAGCGACGCUUAUGCGUUGUUGGGUAGGGGAGCGUUCUGUAAGCCUGUGAAGGUGUGCUGUGAGGCAUGCUGGAGGUAUCAGAAGUGCGAAUGCUGACAUAAGUAACGAUAAAGCGGGUGAAAAGCCCGCUCGCCGGAAGACCAAGGGUUCCUGUCCAACGUUAAUCGGGGCAGGGUGAGUCGACCCUAAGGCGAGGCCGAAAGGCGUAGUCGAUGGGAAACAGGUUAAUAUUCCUGUACUUGGUGUUACUGCGAAGGGGGACGGAGAAGGCUAUGUUGGCCGGGCGACGGUUGUCCCGGUUUAAGCGUGUAGGCUGGUUUUCCAGGCAAAUCCGGAAAAUCAAGGCUGAGGCGUGAUGACGAGGCACUACGGUGCUGAAGCAACAAAUGCCCUGCUUCCAGGAAAAGCCUCUAAGCAUCAGGUAACAUCAAAUCGUACCCCAAACCGACACAGGUGGUCAGGUAGAGAAUACCAAGGCGCUUGAGAGAACUCGGGUGAAGGAACUAGGCAAAAUGGUGCCGUAACUUCGGGAGAAGGCACGCUGAUAUGUAGGUGAAGCGACUUGCUCGUGGAGCUGAAAUCAGUCGAAGAUACCAGCUGGCUGCAACUGUUUAUUAAAAACACAGCACUGUGCAAACACGAAAGUGGACGUAUACGGUGUGACGCCUGCCCGGUGCCGGAAGGUUAAUUGAUGGGGUUAGCGCAAGCGAAGCUCUUGAUCGAAGCCCCGGUAAACGGCGGCCGUAACUAUAACGGUCCUAAGGUAGCGAAAUUCCUUGUCGGGUAAGUUCCGACCUGCACGAAUGGCGUAAUGAUGGCCAGGCUGUCUCCACCCGAGACUCAGUGAAAUUGAACUCGCUGUGAAGAUGCAGUGUACCCGCGGCAAGACGGAAAGACCCCGUGAACCUUUACUAUAGCUUGACACUGAACAUUGAGCCUUGAUGUGUAGGAUAGGUGGGAGGCUUUGAAGUGUGGACGCCAGUCUGCAUGGAGCCGACCUUGAAAUACCACCCUUUAAUGUUUGAUGUUCUAACGUUGACCCGUAAUCCGGGUUGCGGACAGUGUCUGGUGGGUAGUUUGACUGGGGCGGUCUCCUCCUAAAGAGUAACGGAGGAGCACGAAGGUUGGCUAAUCCUGGUCGGACAUCAGGAGGUUAGUGCAAUGGCAUAAGCCAGCUUGACUGCGAGCGUGACGGCGCGAGCAGGUGCGAAAGCAGGUCAUAGUGAUCCGGUGGUUCUGAAUGGAAGGGCCAUCGCUCAACGGAUAAAAGGUACUCCGGGGAUAACAGGCUGAUACCGCCCAAGAGUUCAUAUCGACGGCGGUGUUUGGCACCUCGAUGUCGGCUCAUCACAUCCUGGGGCUGAAGUAGGUCCCAAGGGUAUGGCUGUUCGCCAUUUAAAGUGGUACGCGAGCUGGGUUUAGAACGUCGUGAGACAGUUCGGUCCCUAUCUGCCGUGGGCGCUGGAGAACUGAGGGGGGCUGCUCCUAGUACGAGAGGACCGGAGUGGACGCAUCACUGGUGUUCGGGUUGUCAUGCCAAUGGCACUGCCCGGUAGCUAAAUGCGGAAGAGAUAAGUGCUGAAAGCAUCUAAGCACGAAACUUGCCCCGAGAUGAGUUCUCCCUGACUCCUUGAGAGUCCUGAAGGAACGUUGAAGACGACGACGUUGAUAGGCCGGGUGUGUAAGCGCAGCGAUGCGUUGAGCUAACCGGUACUAAUGAACCGUGAGGCUUAACCUUACAACGCCGAAG